rnacentral:rRNA from 1 species
UACGGAGGGUGCAAGCGUUAUCCGGAUUCACUGGGUUUAAAGGGUGCGUAGGUGGGCAGGUAAGUCAGUGGUGAAAUCUCCGGGCUCAACCCGGAACUGCCAUUGAUACUAUCAGUCUUGAAUAUCGUGGAGGUAAGCGGAAUAUGUCAUGUAGCGGUGAAAAUGCUUAGAUAUGACUAGAACACCAAUUGCGAAGGCAGCUUACUACCCGAAUAUUGACACUGAGGCACGAAAGCGUGGGAUCAAACAGG